rnacentral:lncRNA from 1 species
GUUUUUAAUUAGGAGCUAUUCACCUAGAUACGUCUACGAUGAGUUAAGGGUAUAUCCCUCCCACUGAUCUCACUUACCUGGCCAACAUGAUAGAUUUUAUUUUGAUUAGGACACUAAUCGAUUCGUGCAGAUCCAUGCCAUUAAGGUGAAUCAGUGUGACUGAUUUAGGUAUCUUUUGACCAGCUUGUGUCUAAUCCUUUACAUGACUUGGUGAAGUCAGUGGGAGGAUUUGCAGC